rnacentral:rRNA from 1 species
UACGGGGGGGGCAAGCGUUGUUCGGAAUUACUGGGCGUAAAGGGCUCGUAGGCGGCCAACUAAGUCGGACGUGAAAUCCCCAGGCUCAACCUGGGAACUGCGUCCGAUACUGGAUGGCUUGAAUCCGGGAGAGGGAUGCAGAAUUCCAGGUGUAGCGGUGAAAUGCGUAGAUAUCUGGAAGAAUACCGGUGGCGAAGGCGGCAUCCUGGACCGGCAUUGACGCUGAGGAGCGAAAGCCAGGGGAGCAAACGGG